UACGUAGGGCGCAAGCGUUGUCCGGAAUGAUUGGGCGUAAAGAGCUCGUAGGCGGCCAGUUGCGUCUGCUGUGAAAUCCCGGGGCUCAACCCCGGGCGUGCAGUGGAUACGGGCUGGCUAGAGGCAGGCAGGGGAGAACGGAAUUCCCGGUGUAGCGGUGAAAUGCGCAGAUAUCGGGAGGAACACCGGUGGCGAAGGCGGUUCUCUGGGCCUGUACUGACGCUGAGGAGCGAAAGCGUGGGGAGCGAACAGG
rnacentral:rRNA from 1 species